ensembl:lncRNA
UCCAGACCCAGGGUCAAGGCUGUGAUCUGUUGCGAUUUCCGCCCCGCUCGCCCCCCUGAAGCAGUCAUUACGACGGUUAUUAUUAGAACGGCAAGGUUCGGCCGAAACUUUCUGGUCUCUUCCACAGCCGCCCCGGGAGCUGGCGUCCGAGCCUUCCACCUGAGGCCCGCGGGGGAGAAGAGGCGGGCUUUUUUGUGUGUGUUGCGGCGGUUGGCCCGCCUGUUUGUUUUGGUCUCCGUGCAUGCACAAUAAAUAAUAAUUAGGGUAAUAAUGAAUAGUCGCCGGGGAGGGCGGCGCGGUGCCGGAGGGGUUCGCGCGCGGCGGCGGCGGGGAGGCCGGAGGGAGGAGGAGGAGGAGACGGGAGUUGUAAGUUCUAUUUACCUUGCUCGCGAGGAGUGUGCCGGCUGAAUCUCUUCCCUCUCUGAGUCACCCAGAGUACAGAAACACAGGGAGAGAGGACUAGAUUAUGAAUAUGACUUCAUUGAUGACAGCCGUCCCCUCCUCUUCCUAAACUCGGGCUCCGCCCCGCGGCCCACCCUCGCCGCCUCCACGGGCGCCGGAAGACGCGCCGCAGUUGGCCCCGCGCGCCGCUCCUCCCUGCCCGGCCGGGCGCGGGUUGGCGGGACGCGCCUGUCACUCGGCCCGCUCAGCGACUCCGGGAGCGCGGUGGGGGGAGCAGGGGGCGGUGUGCAAGAAUGUGCAGCGAGACAGCUCUACUGUAUGCGUGGAUCCGUGCGUGCGUGUGUGUGUGUGUGUGUGUGUCGGCGAGGCGCUGGCUCGCGGGCCGGGCUUGUGCCUGGAGCGGAGGACCUGGCGCAGGACGCCGAGCGCCCCGAACCCUGCUGGAGCCCGGUGCAGGCUCGCCCAGCUUGGCCCAGCCUCUCGGAGGGGUGCUGCGGGGCUCCUCCGGGGAGGCUGGGGAAGCGAAAGGGAGAGCGAGCCGUAGUAAUAGCGCGUAGUAGUUGGGGCCGUCCGUGGAGAAGGUGCUGGAAUUUAACUGUGCCUCCGCCUGCCAGAGCGAGCCUGCAGAGGAGCGGGAGGGGAGGCAGGGAGGCCCCGAGGGGCACCAGAGCUGUCGGUGGCACAAUGUUGACCAUGGAAGAAACGGACAUGGUGGAGCUGGCUGAAACUUUUUCGACCCCAGCCCCCCCUCCCAUAAAGGUGAACCUCAAGACAACAAAAGGGAGCACAUCUGAGAGAAGCAGAAGAGAGUAUGCCCUGAAGAAUGUGUGUAAGAACUUGUUUUUCUGCCAGAGGGUAUGCCAGUACCACCCUUGA